rnacentral:lncRNA from 1 species
UUGCUCAACUAGGUUAGAAUUAAUAUUAAUUUUAGAUUUAAAUUAGACUUUUCAAUUUAUAACAAUCCCUGUGGGAUCGACCUCGUUACCACUUUUCUAUCUCUAGAUUCGUGCACUUGCGAGUAUAUUAAAAUUUUCACAACAGCGAUCCAUCAUAAACUUUAUGCAUGCGCUCCUCACAAUCAUUAGAUCAAGAUCCAAUGGCUGGUCAAACUUCAAAAGUCAACAUUACAUGUGGCAUCCUGUGAAGUGUCCAAUUUGGUCAAAGAACAAUUGAAAUUUGGCGGGUUAAUGGGUGGAUUGGGUCAACCCGAAUACAAAUAUUCGGAUCCUACAAGUUGUUUCACCAACCAUUGUCACGUGGCACUAUUGUGGCCAUUGAAUUAUGAAUGGUUGAAAUUUAGUCAAAAUUGAUGGCUAUCUAAUGCACUCAUAUCUGUUGUAAGCUCAUUUUCUCAUCCAGUCAGUGAUCGGUCAACAGAAAAAGUCAUUGUUUUUGCACAAGCUCAAUUUUAAACUAAUCUUGACUCAUCUUAAGAUUUUUAGCCUCCGGAAUCUAAAUUUGACAUCCGUUUAUAUGUUUAAAGUCUCGAAUUACAUGAAAUUAAUAUUUUAUCUAAUAAACACACAAAAUACACAAAAUUAGAUAUAGUUAAAACAUAAUUAAUAAUUCCUAAUAUAUUGCGUAAACACAAAUAUAAAUUAUAAUAUAAGCACAAAAUAACAUUUUUUAUCACUUGAUAAUCAAACAAUUUUUAAUACUAAUCAGUUGACAAGAAAAAGAUAAAAGGGGAAAAGUGAGAUGGAAAGAUCCCGAGAAGACGGCGUCAACCACCCGAGAUGUCAGAGAAUAAUAAAACACCCAUGUUAUAUGUCUGUGGCACUACAUGGUAGUACGGUCCCCACAUAGACUGUCUUUUAAAUACCCUCUACAAGCCGUCUAAGUUAGAGGUAAGGAAAAGGGUCCAUAAAUAAGCCACAAGCACUCUCUCUAUAAAAACCAAGAGCUCCUUCAUCUAAUUGGCUCAGAGUUAGGGACAUUCUGCCAAACUUAGACUGACCCUAAGUUGAUAGCUAUUCAACUCCUGUAAAUUAAAGAGCUUCUACAAAGGAGGCCAAAUUACCUAAAAACACUACCUAAGGAGGGAUAUCGCUGAUGACGGCCCACCACCUUUGUUAGCCUAUAUGACUAUAAAUAUUGAUUUUGAUGAUAACAAACCACAUGUAUUUUAAAAGCUUUGAUAAUGUUUUUAAAGUUUCGGAUUUGGACUUAUUUGAAAUUAUUUAAAUGGUUUUGGGGUCAUUAUAUAAUUUCACAAAGUUUGGGCAAAGUCAUAAUUUCAGAAAGUUUGGGGUUAACGAAGAAUUAUUUAGAAAUUCUGAAAUUGGACUUAUUUGCAAAGUUUCAUAACGUUUUGGGCCAUACUAUAGUUUUAUAAAGUUUUGGGGUCAAAUUGUAAAUUUCGGGAAAUGUUUUACUGUAGCAGUUACUGUAGCAAGCGGCUUACCGGAUACUGAUAAACGGCAAGCUGGAUACGAGGCAGUAAGCACCAGAACGAAAGCGGCUUACCGGAUAUGGUUAAACGGCAAGCCGGUUACGACAAAAAAUGUGCAUAACGGCUAGUAACGGCUAG